rnacentral:rRNA from 1 species
AGCAGCCGCGGUAAUUCCAGCUCCAAUAGCGUAUAUUAAAGUUGUUGCAGUUAAAAAGCUCGUAGUUGAAUUUCGGGAUCAAUAUAUUGGUCGUGCCUCCGGUAUGCACUGGUAUCAUUGAUUUCUACCUUCUGACGAACUAUGAUGUCAUUAAUUUGGUGUCAUAGGGAAUCAGGACUGUUACUUUGAAAAAUUAGAGUGUUUAAAGCAGGCACACGCUUGAAUACAUUAGCAUGGAAUAAUGAAAUAGGACGUUUGACCCUAUUUUGUUGGUUUCUAGGAUCGACGUAAUGAUUAAUAGGGAUAGUUGGGGGCAUUAGUAUUCAAUUGUCAGAGGUGAAAUUCUUGGAUUUAUUGAAGACUAACUACUGCGAAAGCAUUUGCCAAGGAUGUUUUCAUUAAUCAAGAACGAAAGUUAGGGGAUCGAAGACGAUCAGAUUCCGUCGUAGUCUUAACCAUAAGCUAUGCCGACUAGGGAUCGGAUGAUGUUAAUUUUUUAAUGUA